CAUCGGGGGCGGGAGGAGGAGACAAAAUGGCGGUCGGUGGAGAGACGGCGGGUCGGAGCGAGCGAGAAGCCAGCACCUGCAGGAGUGGAAGUGUGCCGUUGAUCAAAUAUCCCUGAUAAUUGAGAAGUAUACCUAACCACAGCAAACCUUGACCAAGUGAAGCUUCAAGACAUCAACAUCAUUGAAAAAAUUUAUGUAACAACACGAACACACUUAAAAUCAAUGUAACAACAUGUUGUAAGUAACGGAAACAUAGUGCUGGGGUAUAUACAUCACUAUUAUACUUCAUUUACAGCAUAAAUAGAUUGUGAUAUUUGAAGUAUAUAAUUUUCACUGGUUUGUCAAGUGUUGGUUGAUAAGAUGCCAGUUAAAACAAAGUUUACUGUAUGUUAUAUUUUUGUACAACCUAUUGUGGACAUACAUCACAAGUACAGGUCAUUUGCCCAGUUAUUUGCCAAGGGCUGUGAGAAAAGUCGAUGAUGAAGGCUAUGGAUAUCUGAGUGAUGACAAUAACAAAUAAAUAAAACCAAAUGCCAA